AAAAAAAUGAAGUAAUAUUAUAGCGCAAGGCAGGCAGGCAGGCAGGCAGAGAAGGCAAGCGAUUCUAGCCAGGCAACCCAGUAGUUGACUUGAACAUAUAAAGGAUGCAUAAUUAGCAAAAACAAGGAGGGAGGAAGGCUAGCCAAUCCAGAUUCCAGAUUCCAGAUUCCAGUUCAUAAAUCAUAAUUCUAGGUGAGACAUCGACCACAAGUAAGUAAGAAUGAGUAAAUCACCGGUAGGCGGCGGAGGAGGAGGAGGAGUCUUCCAUGACCCUGAAGUUGGCGGCAACGACAAGGCCAAUAUUAUUAUCAAUAAUACAACUAGUAGUAUUGAUCAGAAUAUGAAUCCAAUGAUAUCCAGCUGCGGGAUUGGGAGUGGCAGUGGAUUGGUGACGAAGAAGAAGAUGAAUAUUGUGAGGAUGACACUGCUGUUUGUGGGGAUGACUGUGGCUUGCUUUAUUUUCUACAAUUCUGUCUUUCCUUCCAGAUUUCUCCCCAUGUCCUUAUAUGACUACACCGGAACCACAUCUUCUCAGGGCAACGACCAUGUAUUGGAUGCGGUUCUGCAAAAUGCAUCCAUGAAGGACAGAACCAUUCUGGUAACUACAUUAAACGAUGCUUGGGCCGAACCCAAUUCCAUAUUUGAUCUGUUUCUGGAGAGCUUUCACAUCGGAAGCAACACGACAUGGCUGCUCAACCAUCUGGUAGUGAUCUGCUUGGACCAGAAAGCAUAUGCUCUUUGCUUAGCCUUGCACCCUCACUGUUACGAGCUCUACACUGAAGGUGCCAACUUCACCAGCGAGGCAUAUUUUAUGUCUUCCGACUACUUGCAAAUGAUGUGGAGACGGAUCCAAUUUAUGUCCAAAAUUCUCGACAAAGGCUACAACUUUGUCUUUACGGACACUGAUAUAAUGUGGCUCCGGAAUCCCUUCCCACAAUUCUAUACGGAUGCGGAUUUUCAAAUCGCAUGUGAUUUCUUCAAGGGUGAUUCUUACAGCAUAAAGAAUUUUCCCAACGGUGGAUUUACCUAUGUCAAGUCCAAUGAGCGCACAAUUUGGUUCUAUAAGUUUUGGUACUUCUCCAGAAAGGCGUAUCCAAAGAUGCAUGACCAGGACGUACUAAACAAGAUCAAAUCGGAUCCCUUGAUUUCCCGUAUUGGAUUGAAAAUGAGGUUCUUGGAUACCCAAUACUUCGGUGGCUUCUGUCAGCCCAGUGACGAUUUUAACAAAGUUUGUACCAUGCAUGCGAAUUGCUGUGUUGGUCUCGAUAACAAAGUCAAUGAUCUUAGAAUUUUGCUUCAAGUUUGGAGAAAGUUCAUGGCUUUGCCUCCCAACGCCACCACCACGGCACAUACUUCAUGGACCGUUCCACAAAAUUGCAGUACUUCCUUCCAACGCCUUGGAAAGCACUCGUGACAAGAGAAGGGAAUAUUGACCUUACGAUGUGUAGAGCUUUGUAACAUAUAAUUUACAGGUAGAAGAAAAGGAUUGUUUUGUCAAGUCCCAAUCCCAUCCAUGCCACCUAUGGAAAUGCCACCUUGCUCAUCAAUCAAUCAAUUACGCGAUUACAAAAUCAGUCAUUUUACAACUUUUUUGGUUUGUAUGUUUGUUUUAUUUUGUUUGGCGGAAAACAAUGAAAACAAACUAAUAUAUAAGGAUUUAUUCCA